UACAGAGGUCUCAAGCGUUGUUCGGAAUUACUGGGCGUAAAGGGUGCGCAGGCCGCGCGGGCAGUCAAAUGUGUAAUUCAGGGGCUCAACCCCUGCACUGCGCUUGAUACUUCCGCGCUAGAACCUUGGAGAGGAGUCUGGAAUUCUCGGUGUAGCAGUGAAAUGCGUGGAUAUCGAGAAGAACACUAAGGGCGUAAGCAAGACUCUGGACAAGUGUUGACGCUCGAUGCACGAAGGCUAGGGUAGCGAACGGG
rnacentral:rRNA from 1 species